AACUGACGAGGAGCCCGACUUGCCACAAUUUGCCUCUCCACCUGAUCGCCUUCGUAUGACAUACACUGCGUCGGUUGCUUUUGUUCCCUUCUUUUCGAAAAGAUGGCCGGUGGUGGGGCGGCGGAGGCCUCGAUGGCGGUGGGAACCUUUGAUGAUGGUUCCAGUUCGCAUUUCCAGUGCUGCGUUUGCCUCAUGUGGACACAUAUCUUGCUUUUGGUGUCUGAACAAAGGCCAUGCAUAGGGGCGAGCAUCACAUUGCGCUAUAUUAUAUUGUGUCUUGCAAAUCUAUCUGACUUAAGUGGGGAGACUCUUCAGUGUCAAAUUUGUGAAAGCCUUGAUCCUGGUGAGUUUCCAAAUGUUUUCUUGGAUUUGGAUCAUUUUCUAGAAGAAAAAUUUCCAAGAGUGUGCAGUGAGAAGAGAACAAGUAAAGCCCAAUGUCAACCGGCAAACUCAUCAACAGGUACUUUACAACCAAAGAAACUGAAGGCCAAAGUACCUUGUGAAGCCAUGGGUUUAUUAUGGCUUAAUGAAGACAUGUCUGUAUUUAUUGUAGGAGUCGUGUGUGACUCAUGUGAGAUAUAUCUGAUUAUUGGUAAGCGAUACAAGUGUAAGGAUUGGAAAGAAGCAGUUGGCUUUGACUUGUGUGAAGCAUGCUACAAAACCAAAUCAAAACUCCCUGGCAGGUUCAACCACCAGCACACGCCUGACCACAAGUUUGAGCUUGAUGAGCUGCACAUGUUACGUAACACAUUACUGCGAAGAGCCAGUAUGUUUAACAUUGCUCAACAACGUCCUGAAGUAGUCUGUCCCUAUGGAUGAUGAUCCACAUGAUGGAAAUCACGACAACGAAGGGGGUGGAAAUGAGGAGGAUCUGAGAUGGAAAGGGAAGCUCUUUGAUGUCCUUGGAAGCAAAAACCGUUGUGUAUUAUUAUCCAGAUUUCUGAAGGGCACUACAAUACAAGAAUAGUGUCUGAUGUUAUCAGAAGGGCGCUGCAAAACAAGACUUCUAUGGCUAGCAUCUCGCUUCAAAUAAUUUGAUUGAUAAGGUCCUUUUGUUCUCUUCUCCCCCAAACCAAGAAGAUUUGGAACCUCCCCCACCUGCGCCACAUUGGUGGCGCUACGGAGAAGUGGAGGAACCCAGCUAUGCAGAUUUUGGACUGCUGUUGAACUCCAUCCAUCUCUUUUACGGAACACAGCAGAUGUCGGAAUGCUGCACACCGGAGGUUAGACGUAUGGAUAUCCUUUGGCCACUUAAUUCUCCAUCAAAUUAAUCAGGUGGAACAAAAAUGCUCUGAAACCUUGUGCAGAGAGAUUGGUAGAAACCAUCCUUUAUGGCAGUGGAUGCAGCGACUUCCUUCCGACCAAACACUACUUAUCUGAGAACUCGGUGGCUUUGAGCUCUGACAUCUCUUAGCCGUUGCAAUCGAACACCCCCUUCCCUUGUUCUUGUUGAUUUCAAAGAACGGUGUACUUGUGCGUGAGCAUUGCCUCCGACAUUUCGUCAAACACUCAGAUGCUCAACAAGAUGCAAGUCAUUCAUUACAUGACGCACACCAAUUGUUUUUUAUGACACCGCUGUAAAAGUUUGGGUGGGCGUUCCAACAAUUAUUGGGCCACGUAUGUGCAAGAACCAUUAGGCGACAACAGAACCCUACUUUGUGACGCCAUGAUGCCGUAGGAAAUCUUGCGGUAUUUUGGUUGAUUCCUUCCAUGCACGCGAGUCCAAAGCCAAGUUUGCUACAGCCCGCACUGAACCAUCAAAAUCCGGAGUUCACAACCCUCAUCCCACGAAGCAAGAUGCCAAAAUGACACAGUGAAGGCUGAAACGAGAGCCACCCCAGCUCACCUACGACUGUUCCCUUGUCCUCCCGGAGGACAGCCACUCCUGAAUGGCCUUUUGGUGCCAUCCGUGGACUUACUGUUCCCUCUCUGACUCCCGAAAGCGACUUGGCCUUGGGAGAUUCCUCUGCUGGCUCUCGAGAAUCCAUUUGAAACUAUGGUAGAUGAUGCUGCGAUUGGACAUGGUGAAAGCUGGGAGGACACCUGUUGAUUGCAGCAUUAGGUAACAAGCCAUCUCUUAUUGGUUGCAGCAUC